CCAGACUCCUACGGGAGGCAGCAGUCGGGAAUAUUGCGCAAUGGAGGAAACUCUGACGCAGUGACGCCGCGUAUAGGAAGAAGGUUUUCGGAUUGUAAACUAUUGUCGUGAGGGAAGAAAUUGACAGUACCUCAGGAGGAAGCUCCGGCUAACUAUGUGCCAGCAGCCGCGGUAAUACGUAGGGGGCAAGCGUUAUCCGGAUUUACUGGGUGUAAAGGGAGCGUAGACGGCUGUGCAAGUCUGAAGUGAAAGCCCGUGGCUCAACCGCGGAACUGCUUUGGAAACUGUAUAGCUUGAGUACUGGAGAGGCAGGCGGAAUUCCUAGUGUAGCGGUGAAAUGCGUAGAUAUUAGGAGGAACACCAGUGGCGAAGGCGGCCUGCUGGACAGAAACUGACGUUGAGGCUCGAAAGCGUGGGGAGCAAACAGGAUUAGAUACCCCAGUA
rnacentral:rRNA from 1 species